GGCAACAUGGCCGAGCGGUCUAAGGCGCCAGACCCAGGAUCUGGUCCGAAAGGGCGUGAGUUCAAAUCUCACUGUUGUCA